ensembl:lncRNA
UGUCAAAGACUCGGUCUGCAUCCCAAAUGGCACCCUAUUCCAUAUAUAGUGCACUACUUUUGACCAGAACCCGGGUCAUAUGUAGUGCACUAUAUAGGGAAAAGGGUGCCAAUAAAGACGCAGCCUCUCUCCACUCACAGGUCAGCCUCAGCUCUAUGGUUACAUGUCUAGUGUAGUAGGAUAGACAUGCAAUGGCAUGGAUCAGCCCUUUGUCCUGAAUAUGUUGCAGCUUAUUGUGUGUGAAUGUACUGUAACUAUGUCCUCUAUUGGACGUGUUAGUCAGUACAGCUUUGUCUUAUAUCCUCUAUUCUACAACCCAGACAAACUGAGGUGAGCUCUACUGCGCUGGCCUACUGGAAUUAUGCUGGAAACAUUUGAUGAACUAACGCAGUAUGGUUCAGAUUGGCACAACAGUGUGAAAAGGCUGAGAGAGAGAGAGAACAGAAGAGAGAGAGAGAACAGAAGAGAGAGAACAGAAGACAGAGAGAGAGAGAACAGAAGACAGAGAGAGAGAGAACAGAAGAGAGAGAGAGAGAGAGAACAGAAGAGAGAGAGAGAACAGAAGAGAGAGAGAGAACAGAAGACAGGGAGAGAGAGAGAACAGAAGACAGAGAGAGAACAGAAGACAGAGAGAGAGAACAGAAGAGAGAGAACAGAAGAGAGCGAGAGAGAGAGAGAGAGAGAGAGAGAGAGAGAGAGAGCGAGCGCAACCAGCCAGUCGAGGCUCUCAAUUUUAAGUGGGGACUCUGACUUUGACUCUGGACAGAUUUAGGUCAGUCAUGCUCAGUGGUGGAAAAACUACCCAGUUGUCAUACUUGAGUAAAAGUAUAGAUACCUUAAUAGAAAGUUACUCAAGUAAAAGUGAAAGUCACCCAGUAAAAUACUACUUGAGUAAAAGUCUUAAAGUAGUUGGUUCUAAAUAUACUUAAGUAUCAAAUGUAAUUGUUAAAAUAUACUUAAGUAUCAAAAGUAAAAGUAUAAAUCAUUUCAAAUUCCUUAUAUAAAUCAAGAACAUACGGCACUAUUUUCUUGUUUUUAAAAUCUAUGGAUAGCCAGGGGUACACAUUAACACUCAGACAUCAUUUACAAACGAUGCAUAUGUGUUCAGUGAGUCAGCCAGAUCAGAGGCAGUAGAGAUGACCAGGGAUGUUCUCUGUUCAGUGAGUCAGCCAGAUCAGAGGCAGUAGAGAUGACCAGGGAUGUUCUCUGUUCAGUGAGUCAGCCAGAUCAGAGGCAGUAGAGAUGACCAGGGAUGUUCUCUGUUCAGUGAGUCAGCCAGAUCAGAGGCAGUAGAGAUGACCAGGGAUGUUCUCUGUUCAGUGAGUCAGCCAGAUCAGAGGCAGUAGAGAUGACCAGGGAUGUUCUCUGUUCAGUGAGUCAGCCAGAUCAGAGGCAGUAGAGAUGACCAGGGAUGUUCUCUGUUCAGUGCGUGAAUUGGACCAUAUUCCUGUCCUGCUAAGCACUCAACAUGCAACGAGUACUUUUGGGUGUCAAGGAAAAUGUAUGUAGUAAAAAGUACAUUAUUGUCUUUAGGAAUGUAGUGAAGUAAAAGUUGUCAAAAAUAUGAAUAGUAAAGCAAAGUACAGGUACCCCAAAAAACGACUUAAGUAGUACUUUAAAGUAUUUUUACUUAAGUACUUUACACCACUGGUCAUGCUGAACUGAAUAUUAUUAUUAUUCGUAGUUAGAAUGCUUUACUGGAAACGGCACUGAAAAUGUCUCUGAACUCUGGCUGCUCUGGCGCAGGAUCAAGGCAGUGGUCCUGGCCUUCAGCCACAGAAUAGGAAUGCUGCCUUCUUGUCCUUUUUGUUACUGGACAGAAUAACAAGUGGCUUUACUGGCUGAAGUAGCUGGGUCCUCCAGUACUCUCACUGGGCACAGACGUUAAUUUACCGUCUAUUCCGCGAUGGUCCGUUCAACGUAAUUUCAUUGAAAUGACAUGCAAACAGCAUUGAUACAACCAGUGUGGCCACAGUGGGAUGUGUAUAUAAUUCUAUGUGCUUUACAGCCAGCUCUACUGACUUGCGUCGUCACGGCAUGCCAUACAUUGUUAGUGGAGUUUGGCAUGACAACGGACACGACCAAGGAGUCAGGCUGUAGCUCAAACAGGCCUGCUACCAGCAGGCUAGCUUCAAAAGGCCUUUUCACAUGUGGUUAUCCCAAGUCUAUACUUAACCCCAGACGCUCUUAGUCCUGGGCUAGAAACGCUAGAGCAGGGGUUCUCAAAGUGGGGUCUGCAGACACCUGGGAAGGGGAAAACUGAAAACUAGCUGUUAUUGGCAGAGAGGUUUGGAACUCUCUUUCUUAUUGGUCUAUUAACUCAUUUACUGCUAGGCAGAACAAAACUCCAUCCGAUCAAAACAUAAUGACAUUUUAGGAGGACUUUUCGAACAGCUCUUACAGCAUUAUCAUAAAUAAAAUGCAAAUGAAUUACUUAAAAAUCAUACAAUGUGAUUUUCUGGAUUUUUGUUUGAGAUUCCGUCUCUCACAGUUGAAGUGUACCUAUGAUUUAAAAAAAUUACAGACCUCUACAUGCCUUGUAAGUAGGAAAACCUGAAAAAUCGGCAGUGUAUCAAAUACUUGUUCUACUCACUGUAAAUAUAAUGUUUGACUGCACUGGGCCUUUAAAACGGCAAAGUUGUAUCUGCCUCAUGACAAAAUGUGUAGAAUUGCAGGAAAUGUGCUUGAAAACGGCAACAUUUUUUCUCUGAUGUCAAGAGGCGGGCUUUAAAAUGUUCCUUUCCCUGGCCAGAGACUUGGUUCAUCCAGCCAUGCACUGCUGAAGUCAUGGUAAAACUGGACUUGUUCUGAUUAAGAGGGCGUCCCUGUUGAAUUCCCUUUCUUUUCUCUUGCACAAGUUGAACACAAUUAAAGAAGACGAUUAAAGAAGACUGAGGAACAUAUUUAUUUCAUGAGUCUCUGGUGACGUAUUUGCCACAAAUAGUCACAUAACAUCGUUUUAAAUUGAAAGGAAGCCAAGUCUGAAUAUCAAAAGAAGCAGGGUGGGAUAUUUAUAAAAGAGAUGAUUUGUAGGCAGCGCUCUGAGAAUCCCUUAGAAGAGAGAGACAGACAAGGCCCCAGGUGCUUCUGAUGUUUACAUUGUAACCAUCUCUCUCUCCCUCUCUGAGGAGAGUUGUGUAAUUUCAUUGAGAGAACUGGACCGCAAAGUGCUACGUGCAGGGAAUACAGUCACAAGCAGUUCGGCUGUCAUUCUAACCACACACACACACACACUGCAACACAGACAUGGACACACACAGACACCCACAUGCGCACGCACACGGAUACGCACAGUCCGACACGUAGGUCUCUGAACACCAUGCAUGUACUGUGUGUGUAUUCAGCUGUGUGAGUUCAGCUGUGUGCUUGCUUAUGAGGAGAAAAUAUUGGUAUGUAAUCAUAUAUACAGUACGUAGUAGUACUUGAUGUGAUACUUGAAUAGCACUUAGGUCGUAUUCAUUAGGGCACACUGUAGCAAAAGAUUUUACAACGGAAUAUGAAAACUAACGUUUCUCAUUGGAUAAGUUCAGGCAUUUCCACACUACUUCGGUCUGUUUUCUUCCGUUCGGUGCCUAAUGAACACGUCCCUGGUAUGAGGUGAUGUGAUGUAAAGAUGGAGUGAUGAUUGUGCUGCAAAAGAGAAGAGAGAAAAAGAGGGACAUCUACCUCUACGCCGGGUGAGGGAUGUCUUUAACAAAUAGUGGACAGCCAUGUCUGUCUGCUGAAACCAAUGCUGUUUAUUUGUCACUAGUGACAGAAAAUGUAUGUCUCUCUGCCCAUUAUUCUGUGAUGAAUACAACUGUAUAUCUAUUUGUAUAUUUAUACUCUGUCUGAACGUGUAUAUUUUAAUUUUAAUUGUUGUAGUACCCCUUUCCUGCAGUCGAAUGACCUAGUGGCCUCAUGGGUGGAAUGUUAUUCAUAUUUUUCAUAAUUUCAUAAUUAAUAAACAUUAUUUUUU